rnacentral:rRNA from 1 species
GAUCAUGGCUCAGGAUGAACGCUAGCGACAGGCUUAACACAUGCAAGUCGAGGGGCAGCAUGAGGUAGCAAUACCUUGAUGGCGACCGGCGCACGGGUGAGUAACGCGUAUGCAACCUGCCCGAUACCGGGGUAUAGCCCAUGGAAACGUGGAUUAACACCCCAUAGUACUUUUAUCCUGCAUGGGGUGUGAGUUAAAUGUUCAAGGUAUCGGAUGGGCAUGCGUCCUAUUAGUUAG